UACGUGGGGACCAAGCGUUGUCCGGAUUUAUUGGGCGUAAAGAGCGCGUAGGCGGCUCUCCACGUCGGAUGUGAAAGCUCAGGGCUCAACCCUGAGAUGCCAUUCGAUACGGGAAGGCUAGAGGUAGGUAGGGGAAAGUGGAAUUCCUGGUGUAGCGGUGAAAUGCGCAGAUAUCAGGAGGAACACCGGUGGCGAAGGCGGCUUUCUGGGCCUUACCUGACGCUGAGGAGCGAAAGCUGGGGGAGCGAACAGG
rnacentral:rRNA from 1 species